rnacentral:rRNA from 1 species
UACGUAGGGGGCAAGCGUUGUCCGGAUUUAUUGGGCGUAAAGAGCGUGUAGGCGGUCCGGUAAGUCCGCUGUGAAAGUCGGGGGCUCAACCCUCGGAUGCCGGUGGAGUACUGUCGGGCUAGAGUACGGAAGAGGCAAGUGGAAUUCCUGGUGUAGCGGUGGAAUGCGCAGAUAUCAGGAGGAACACCUAUAGCGAAGGCAGCUUGCUGGGACGUUACUGACGCUAAGGCGCGAAAGCGUGGGGAGCGAACAGG